rnacentral:misc_RNA from 1 species
GAUGAAGAACGCAGCGAAAUGCGAAAAGUAAUGUGAAUUGCAGAAUUCAGUGAACCAUCGAAUCUUUGAACGCACAUUGCGCCCGCUGUAACUCCGGCGGGCACGCCUGUCCGAGCGUCAUUUCAACCCUCAGGCCCCCCUUCGCGGGCGGGCCUGGUGUUGGGGCCCGGCCGCUACCCUGCGGCCGUCCCCUAAAUUCAGUGGCGGCCUCGCCGUGAUCCCUUGCGUAGUAAUGCACCUCGCACCGGAGAGCGCCGUGGCCACGCCGUAAAACCCCCAAUUUUCAAUGGUUGACCUCGGAUCAGGUGGGAAUACCCGCUGAACUUAAGCAUAUCAAUAAGCGGAGGA